GAAUGCUGACAUAAGUAACGAUAAAGCGGGUGAAAAGCCCGCUCGCCGGAAGACCAAGGGUUCCUGUCCAACGUUAAUCGGGGCAGGGUGAGUCGACCCCUAAGGCGAGGCCGAAAGGCGUAGUCGAUGGGAAACGGGUUAAUAUUCCCGUACUUGGUGUUACUGCGAAGGGGGGACGGAGAAGGCUAUGUUGGCCGGGCGACGGUUGUCCCGGUUUAAGCGUGUAGGUGUGUGUUCCAGGUAAAUCCGGUUCACUUUAACACUGAGGCGUGACGACGAGGCACUACGGUGCUGAAGCAACAAAUGCCCUGCUUCCAGGAAAAGCCUCUAAGCAUCAGGUAACAUCAAAUCGUACCCCAAACCGACACAGGUGGUCAGGUAGAGAAUACCAAGGCGCUUGAGAGAACUCGGGUGAAGGAACUAGGCAAAAUGGUGCCGUAACUUCGGGAGAAGGCACGCUGACACGUAGGUGAAGUGAUUUACUCAUGGAGCUGAAGUCAGUCGAAGAUACCAGCUGGCUGCAACUGUUUAUUAAAAACACAGCACUGUGCAAACACGAAAGUGGACGUAUACGGUGUGACGCCUGCCCGGUGCCGGAAGGUUAAUUGAUGGGGUCAGCGCAAGCGAAGCUCCUGAUCGAAGCCCCGGUAAACGGCGGCCGUAACUAUAACGGUCCUAAGGUAGCGAAAUUCCUUGUCGGGUAAGUUCCGACCUGCACGAAUGGCGUAAUGAUGGCCAGGCUGUCUCCACCCGAGACUCAGUGAAAUUGAACUCGCUGUGAAGAUGCAGUGUACCCGCGGCAAGACGGAAAGACCCCGUGAACCUUUACUAUAGCUUGACACUGAACAUUGAGCCUUGAUGUGUAGGAUAGGUGGGAGGCUUUGAAGUGUGGACGCCAGUCUGCAUGGAGCCGACCUUGAAAUACCACCCUUUAAUGUUUGAUGUUCUAACGUGGACCCGUUACCCGGGUUGCGGACAGUGUCUGGUGGGUAGUUUGACUGGGGCGGUCUCCUCCUAAAGAGUAACGGAGGAGCACGAAGGUUGGCUAAUCCUGGUCGGACAUCAGGAGGUUAGUGCAAUGGCAUAAGCCAGCUUGACUGCGAGCGUGACGGCGCGAGCAGGUGCGAAAGCAGGUCAUAGUGAUCCGGUGGUUCUGAAUGGAAGGGCCAUCGCUC
rnacentral:rRNA from 1 species